AGAUGCACAAAACAAAGUUGCAGAAGCUAGAAACUUUUUUUGAAACGUCUCCAGGGAACUGGUGAUGCAGUUAUGUUACACUCACAAAAUAAGAGCAGCCUCAGACAGCUGGAGUUAACAUUCACUCUGUGCGACUAAUUGAGGAACAUAGAGGUGGUAUGUUAUGUUAGUUACCUCUACGUCAUUCUAGUUACUGCCAUGUUUUGUAGUUACAACUCUUUUAAGUCGAGCAAAUCUGAUAUUUUGCAAAAGACCAUUUGACAUGUAAAUAUCCAGAGGUACUAUGUUAUGAGAUAGACCUUUUUUUUUUUUUUGCAUGAUAAAAUAAGGGUAGUAAGAGAUUUCUGUUUAACAUUGGUCAGUUCACUCCUUGGAAUCAGCUUCUGCUUUGCAAUUGGUCAGUUCACUCCUUGUUUCCAAAAAAUGGCUCAUUACAAGAUCAGAUGUGGCCUGAAUUGUCACAUUUGGUCAUAUCUGCCUCAACAUAGAUCGGGGGAGAACAUUCUCUCCAUUGCUCUUGGAAAUACCGUGUAUAUGUGGGAUGCAUCUAAUGGUGCUACAUCAGAACUUGUCACAAUUGAUGAAGAAAAUGGCCCUGUUACCGGUGUCAAAUGGGCUCCCGAUGGACGGCACAUUGCUGUUGGCCUGAACAACUCGGAGGUUCAGAUAUGGGAUUCGACAGCAGCUAGACAGGUGUUUAUCCUCUAAUAUUUUCUUAAUAUUUAUGAAGGAUUGGACUCUAACUCAAAUCUAGCUAGGUACCUCUAUCCAAUUGAUUUGACGUGGAUAGAGGUCUAUUUUGUCCAAUCCAGUUGAUCAACUGUAAACCUACAAUUCGUUUAAAAAGUCAUAGUGCUUAUUUUCAUGUACUUCCAAUGCAGCUGAGAACUUUGAGAGGCAUUCAUGGGUCACGAGUUGGUGCUUUGGACUGGAACAAUCACAUUUUGACUACUGGUGGCAUGGAUGGUCAGAUCAUUAACAAUGAUGUUAGAGUGAGGGCACACAUUGUUGAAACUUAUAGAGGACAUACUCAAGAAGUUUGUGGACUUAAAUGGUCAGCCUCGGGUUCACAGCUAGCAAGUGGUGGAAAUGAUGAUCUACUCCACAUAUGGGACAGUUCCAUGGCUUCAUCUAAUUCUCCAACACAGUGGCUGCACAGGCUCGAGGAACAUACUGCUGCUGUCAAAGCUCUUGCCUGGUGUCCUUUCCAGGGUAAUUUACUGGCCUCUGGUGGAGGUGGAAGUGACCAGCGCAUAAAAUUCUGGAACACGCACUCUGGUGUGUGCUUGAACUCGGUUGACACUAGCUCACAAAUUUGUGCUUUAUUGUGGAGUAACAAUGAGCGUGAAAUGCUUAGCUCUCACGGGUUUACAGAAAAUCAGCUCACUCUCUGGAAAUACCCCUCCAUGGUGAAAAUAGCUGAGCUCACUGGGCAUACAUCAAGAGUUCUUUUUAUGGUUCAGGUACCGAGUUGUAUCUUAUUCGAAGAGUAAUGUAAUGCCACCAUCUUUUAACAUCUUAAAUCUGAUCCUUUUCUUGUGGUCUUUGAUUUAGAGCCCGGAUGGAUGCACAGUUGCAUCAGCAGCAGGAGAUGAAACUCUGAGGUUUUGGAAUGUUUUUCGGAUGCCUAAAGUGGCAAAACCUGCAUCCAAGACAAAUUCCGAGCCAUUUGGUCACUGGAACAUUCGAUGAUUGUUGGCAUGAGAAAGCAAAGCAGAUUCUUUACUGCAUGAAAUUCUAAGAUCGAAGAAAACAAAAAUGAUUAACAAGUCCAUAGGUACAAAUUUUUGACAAUGUCCUUUAUUGUAUUCAUUCCACUAUAUUUUUUAAGCUAAUUAUUUUCUAUAAUUUCCAUUUUCUGACAGGGGGUUUCUACUGACAAUUGGGUUUCUGCAAUUCCACCCCGACAGUGCCUUUUUUUCUAAUGCCUUCGUAUUUUCUCAUGCGAAGUUCAGUUACACUGCGUAUUGUCUUUUAAGCUACACAUGUCCAUAGGUACAAAUUAUUGACAAUACGACUGAAAAUCAACUUCUGGAAAGACAGGUCUCCUUUCUCUGUUAAGCAGUCUUUUUUAUCAUGUUUUUCAUUGUUUGUCCUUGCAUGACUCCUUUUGUCAUUUGGCAGUGACUGCUCUUCUGCUGGACUUCUAAUUAAUCCUAUUAAUUAGGAGCUUCCCCAGUGUUGGGGAGGUCAAUAAAAUUUAUUAAUCCUAUUAUUCAAUAGAUAUUCAUGUUUUACACUAAAUACCUCAUUUUUCUCGUCUUAAGGCAACUAUUAUGGCCGGGUUACUUUUUUAGCUCUUUUUCUUCUUUAUUUUUCAUAUUUUCUUUCCUGCAGAAAGCAAGUCCACCAAAGAUGCACAAAACAAAGUUGCAGAAGCUAGAAACUUUUUUUGAAACGUCUCCAGGGAACUGGUGAUGCAGUUAUGUUACACUCACAAAAUAAGAGCAGCCUCAGACAGCUGGAGUUAACAUUCACUCUGUGCGACUAAUUGAGGAACAUAGAGGUGGUAUGUUAUGUUAGUUACCUCUACGUCAUUCUAGUUACUGCCAUGUUUUGUAGUUACAACUCUUUUAAGUCGAGCAAAUCUGAUAUUUUGCAAAAGACCAUUUGACAUGUAAAUAUCCAGA
rnacentral:lncRNA from 1 species